rnacentral:rRNA from 1 species
AUUGAACGCUGGCGGCAGGCCUAACACAUGCAAGUCGAGCGGAUGAGGGGUGCUUGCACCCCGAUUCAGCGGCGGACGGGUGAGUAAUGCCUAGGAAUCUGCCCGAUAGUGGGGGACAACGUUUCGAAAGGAACGCUAAUACCGCAUACGUCCUACGGGAGAAAGUGGGGGCUCUUCGGACCUCACGCUAUCGGAUGAGCCUAGGUCGGAUUAGCUAGUUGGUGGGGUAAAGGCUCACCAAGGCGACGAUCCGUAACUGGUCUGAGAGGAUGAUCAGUCACACUGGAACUGAGACACGGUCCAGACUCCUACGGGAGGCAGCAGUGGGGAAUAUUGGACAAUGGGCGAAAGCCUGAUCCAGCCAUGCCGCGUGUGUGAAGAAGGUCUUCGGAUUGUAAAGCACUUUAAGUCGGGAGGAAGGGCUGUAGGUUAAUACCUUGCAGCCUUGACGUUACCGACAGAAUAAGCACCGGCUAACUUCGUGCCAGCAGCCGCAGUAAAAC